rnacentral:miRNA from 1 species
UGAGGAGUUUAGAGCAAGUAA